CUUUUAUCCAUUUUUUAAAUUCAUAGAGCUAGAAAGAAGAUAAAUAAGGAAAAGGCAACUCCAGACAUCCAUCCGGCAUGUAGCACAUACACCAUAUACCACAAAGAAUAUACAAUUUUCUCAACUGCACAUAGAACAUUAUUCAGAACAGAUUGCAUGUUAGAACAAAAGAGAAAAAAUAAGUUAAAAUAUCCUAAAAAAAGUAUGUUUACUAAAACUACAAGCCUAGAUAUCAGCAACGUUACCAGUCUCUUUCUGGAUACCAUUAGCUCCUUGGUUCUUGUGAUGAGAUUCACAGAGAGAAUUCAGGUAAGAUGCACAGAGCACAGUGUAGAAGAGGAGCAGUUUAUUCUAAGGUGGAAAAAGCUCUCAAAGAAUCAGAGUAGAUGGCCAAAGAGCACAUUGCAGAGCAGAGUACAUUCCCAAAGGGGUGAAAGUAGGGGUAGAAAGGGGCAGUGGUAGGAGAGAGUCCAGUAUCAAGAGGUGAGUAUAGUCAGUGACCAACGGGGGCAUUUCAAAGGAGAGUGGAGUCUCAACAGGUAAUAGACAGGCUUUAUACUAUUUCUAUAGUGUCAAAAAUGAGAUUCAAUUGCAUUAAUUCUUAGAGGAAGGAUCACUGGUAUGUUGUUUUCUGGCACUGUUUCUGGAAAGAUUUGGACAAACAUCCACAUAUGAUAUAUGCCAAAUCAAUAGUAGACCAAAUUAAAGAUACUUCCAAAAGUCAAA
rnacentral:lncRNA from 1 species